AUUUUACAAAAUUAUGCCCCUUUUUCAACUUUUGUAUUCAUUCAAUUGACAAGGCUGUUGAAUAGUCGAGCGUUGCUGUCCUCCGACAGCUCUUGUUAUACAUGCCUCCCCUGUAUCUAUACAUUUAACAGGGUUACUGUGAACACUUACCACCACAUCUUGGCAAUGGUAUGUAUGGAUGACCGACAUUUAGAUGUUCAAAGUUUUACAAUGAUUUUGGAGCAUAUAGGGUGUGUAUGUUUACUUUUUCUUACAUGUGGCAACACUUUGAUAUAUUUGUUUCUCUUUUUACACAUGCCUCUCUGUAUGAAUACAUGCAACAGGGUCACCAUGGGAACGUACCGCCACAAAACACAUUUAGACAAUGACUGACGUUCAGAUGAGCAGAUUUUAGAGCAUAUACGGUUAGUACAUGUAUGUCUACUUUUCCUUUUAUGUGGCAACGCUUUGAUACAUUUGUUUUUGUUUUUACACAUGCCUUUCUGUAUUUAUACAUUCAACUUUAAUAGGGUUACCAUGAAAAAGUACCUCAGUAUCUAGGCAAUGGUAUAUUGGAUGAGCAACGUUCAUAUGUACAAAGUCAUACAGCAGAUUUUAGAGCAUAUAAGGUGUGUAUGUUUACUUUUUCUUUUUUUGUGAUGUCACUUUGAUAUAUUUGUUUUUCAUUUUACACAUGCCCCUUUGUAUCUAUAAACAGAAUAGGAUUACCAUGGAAACUAACUUCUACAUCUAGGCAAAGGUAUAAAUGGAUGGCGACGUCCAAAUCUACAAACAGCAGUGAGAGAAAUCCUGCAACCGAUAACGAGAUCACAUGACAAACGCUUAGCUUUAAAUAGUCUAAGCUUUGCUAGGACCCGUAAAUGAAUUCAGGCAAAACUUGAAUAUAAACAAACAUCUGGAUAAUAUGUGCGGUUUUUGAAAACUCAAUCUACCUUGCAUGUGUUUUGCUGCGUAAUUCUUGGUGUUCGGUGUUUGCUAUUUUGUCAGGGAUUUGUUUGGCUAUUUGAUGGUGUUUGUCGUGGUUUUGGUGUUUGUUGUGCUGUUUGUGGUGGUGUUUUGGUGUUUGUUGUGUUUUUGGAGUCUUCCAUGUGGUCUUCUCGGUUGUAUUCGAUCAUGUUUGUGUGUUUUGUUAAAAUGGGCGUUUGGUGCGAAUUGUAUAUGUCGCAUUUGGUUCUUCAUCGUUCGUUCCGUUACAAGGUGAAUUUCUUUGUGCCAUUAGCAGUAUAUUAUAACUAGAUUUAUUCAUGUACACAAAAAUUGCGGUGUGAUUAAUUUGUUUUACGUUUCCCAUCAGUUUUAGAUAGCUGCAAAGACAUGUCAUGAAAUUUGCAGAUGACAGAUAUGGGGUGCAGGUGAGAUCUGGGUUGAACGCGCGAAAGCUGCAAAGACAUGCCAUGAAAUAUGCAGAUGACAGACAUGCAGUGCAGACGAGAUCUGGGUGGAACGCGCGAAAUUGUUUUAUUCUAUGUCUGCGUUUUACUCUUUUUGUUUUGUAUUUCUUUUUUCUACUAGAAUGCUGGGGUAUGUGUACUUGAAGAAAAAAGACGCAGAAGGACAUGGAGAUGCAGACCAAGCAAAAUGUGCGUUUCUCUUUAUGAUGAACAGAUAUGUAUAUUGCUACUUAUGUUAUCCUUUUUUGUAUGCAUUUUUUCAACCUUUUGGCUGAUGUUUACAAGUACGUGUGAAUAUAUCAUGUUGUAGACAAUGCAAUGGUUUAGUGGAUGGUGCAGCUCUGGUACAUGAUAUUGACUACAAGCACGUGGGUGGAUGUCAUGUUGUAGAUUUCACAGUGGUUAAGUCGGUGCUGCAACUUGAUCCUUUUUCUAAGUAAUUCUGGAGCGUAAGAAUGUGCAUUCAACUUCUGGCCACAGUGAAAGUAAAACUCGAAGUAUCGGACAAGAAACUCAAAACUAUUCGAUGAGAAACUCAUGCUAUCAGACGAGGAACCCGAACUAUCUGACAAGAAGCAGUUUCCUGUACCAUACACGAAGAAAAAUUUAGUUGAUGAAUCUACAGUUGUCAUGGAAUUGCCUUGCUGGUACUAAAAAGAUGCCGAUAACCAGAGGGGCACUGGUAACCAAUCGAUGUCGCUCAUCAGAGGUGUUUUGGAUCCCUUAUAUGUCAACAUAGUAAUCAAGUCUGUUCUCGACAAGACGACACUUGCUGCUUCUACAAGACAAGUCAGUGGCGGAAGAAGAGACCCGAUGCCUGGAGUAACUUUGCAGUAUAAAAUUUUGCACUGUUCGAAUGGUCAAGAUAAGAGUGGUUUUAGUGGAAUACAGCCCUUGAUGGACAUAUCGUCUGUAUUUGCCCUGUCCUGGUGAUGGUAGAGAGCUCUUCCACACCUCAUGCAUAUAUCAGAAUCUGCGAGGUAGGCGACGAAUUUAUUCAGGUUUAAAACGACAGGAAGACAGUGUUUUACAUAGUUGAAAGACAAAGAAAAAGAAUCAAAUUCCAGAACGUGCCGUCCUGUGUUGGUUGUUUUCGACAGUUGAGGGGAGAGUCCGGUGCAUGCCAGAUACUAUCUAUUGAUUUCAAACACUCUAGUGGGAAAUAUAUGCAGAAGAAAGAACCAAGUAUGAUAAAUCCACGACAGACCUGGCACAAGCAUAUAUAGUAUGACACAACUACAGCCGCCAUGACAAAAGCAUAGUUAAACAAAUUAGACAUAAGCUAACAUGUAUAUAAUUAUACCCCAACGUACAAAGUAUAUUGGGCUAUGUUGGAGUCACGCAUGUCCAGUCCAUCCGUUCAUUUGUCCACCAUGGCUGCUGGGAUGAUUUUCAUAAAACUGACAUCAAUUAUAAACCACAUCAAGACGAUGUACAGAGCGCUCAACUUAGGUCACAAGGCCCAAGGUCAAGAUUACUCGUGGAGGUCAAAGGUCAAAUAGCUUAGCUUCAUGUCCGCUCUAUUAUUGUCUAAACGGCUUUGAAAAUAUUUAGCUCGACUGUUUGAAGAAUAAGGAGGAUUACUGUACUUUCCUUGGCGUCUGUGUCACUGUUACCAUUAUAAUAACGACUUUAUUUUAUGAGGCUAACACAUUUGGAUUACCCAAUCUUCCAUGUGGGCCUCCAGAUACUUGAUAUGUUACAAUAUUUACAAAGGAUGUAUAUACAAUGACAAAUGCAGUAACACAGAACAAUAUUGAAAGAUAUUAAGACAGAUAUAAUAUAGAAUAGAACUAUUUCAAAGACAACUCUACAGUAAAGCACUAUCAUUCAAUUCCACCAGAGAACUUCCAGGUUAAAUACAUCUUCUUAAAUGAAGCCAUUGCAUUGAAAGUUAAAAUUUUAGGACAAGCUUCUCAGUGUCACUAUAUCUUCUUACUACUGCCCUUAUUAACAUCAAACUUCACAUAAGUGUUGGUCUUGGUAAGGGAAAGACAUCUACAUGUAUAAGUUUAGGAACAAGUAUCCUUAAUGUCGAAGUCACUGGCUUAAAUAUUGUGAUAGUGCUGGUUAAGGUUUCAUGAUAAGCUUCUCAAUUUCACAAUAUAACCUCACAUAAGGAUUGAUCUUAGAACGUGGCAGAAAUCUUUUUGUUUAGGGUCAGGUUGCUCAAAGAUCAAGGUUACUGGGUUCAGAUUUUGUAACGGUGUUGGUUAAAGUCUUGUGGCACAUUUCUGAAUUUGACUUAUAUCUCAUAACGUUUCUUAGAACUGGUAUCCCUCAUGUCCUAUCCUUUUUAGCUAUACCCACACUUCGUCUACGUUCCUCCCGACACACACCCAAAAUGCGUUCCAUACAAAAACUUAUAUUUAAUGUUUCCAUCAACUCCCGUACUCCGCUGUCUUCACCUACCUCCUCCACCCCAUUUCACCGAACCUUUACCCUCGUCCCUAACCCCCACCCCCUCCAUAAAAAGGAUAAAAAAUCUCCUUUUCGAUCUCCCACAUUUACUUAUAAUAAUAACAAUAUCUUGUUAAACAUUUUCCUUAUAGUCGAGCAGACACAAUUAACUCAGAUCACUAGGCCCAGGGUCAAGGUCACACCUAAAAAUCAAAAGUCAUGAUGACAACAUUUUACUUUCCCUUUAUCAAAGUGAGGUGUGGGGGUAUUAAUCGACUUCAAUGAUAGCCUUAGUUGAUCAGGUGUUAGUGGCAUAAAUGUGUAACAUUUGCUUUAUUAGGGUGGGGGAUAGGAAUGGUAUUCGUCUGUCUGUCUGUCCGUCCGCAACACUUUCGUGUCCAGGCCGUAUCUCCUAAACCCCUUGAAGGAUUUCCAUGAAACUUGGGUCAAAUUAUCAACUCAUCAAGAUGAUGUGCAGAAUUC
rnacentral:lncRNA from 1 species